GGUAGAAGGAACUCGCCGAGCAUCAAAGACCCUCAAGCAGCCCCUCGCCUUUGGUGUCACAAGUGUGCCUGAAGGCCAAAUGCUUGCUGGAUGAUAAGAAGGAGAAGAAGUGCUGGAAGAUCAAAAUUAGCAGAGCAGGAAAGAUCGGGGGGCGUCAAUACCCCGCCACUCCCUCCCCCCCUUUCUUCUCAUGUGGUGCCGGGUGGAGGCGGCGAGCUCAGAGCCUCGCCUUGCAUGUGACGAGGCUCCAGUGGCCCAUUAAGGGCUUCCUGCAGACUAAUUGGUUGGCGAAGAGUCAGUCCAGUCCAAACUCCUUCCAUUGCGUUUCCCACAUGGUUACCUGUGUUUCAGGUAGGUAU